GAGUUUGAUCCUGGCUCAGGAUGAACGCUAGCGGCAGGCUUAAUACAUGCAAGUCGUGGGGCAGCAGGUUUGUAGCAAUACAGAUGCUGGCGACCGGCAAACGGGUGCGGAACACGUACGCAACCUCCCUCUUUCUGGAAGAUAGCCCACCGAAAGGUGGAUUAAUACUCCAUAAUAUAUUGAAGUGGCAUCACUUUAAUAUUAAAGCUCCGGCGGUAAGAGAUGGGCGUGCGUCUGAUUAGGUAGUUGGCGGGGUGACGGCCCACCAAGCCUGCGAUCAGUAGCUGAUGUGAGAGCAUGAUCAGCCACACGGGCACUGAGACACGGGCCCGACUCCUACGGGAGGCAGCAGUAAGGAAUAUUGGUCAAUGGACGCAAGUCUGAACCAGCCAUGCCGCGUGGAGGAUGACGGUCCUCUGGAUUGUAAACUUCUUUUCUCUGGGACGAAACCCCCGAUUUCUAUCGGGCCUGACGGUACCAGAGGAAUAAGCACCGGCUAACUCCGUGCCAGCAGCCGCGGUAAUACGGAGGGUGCAAGCGUUAUCCGGAUUCACUGGGUUUAAAGGGUGCGUAGGUGGGCAGAUAAGUCAGUGGUGAAAUCUCUGGGCUUAACCCGGAAACUGCCAUUGAUACUAUUUGUCUUGAAUUCUCUGGAGGUAAGCGGAAUAUGUCAUGUAGCGGUGAAAUGCUUAGAUAUGACAUAGAACACCCAUUGCGAAGGCAGCUUACUACGGAGACAUUGACACUGAAGCACGAAAGCGUGGGGAUCAAACAGGAUUAGAUACCUGGUAGUCCACGCCCUAAACGAUGAUUACUCGACAUAGCGAUAUUACAGUUAGUGUCUAAGCGAAAGCAUUAAGUAAUCCACCUGGGAAGUACGACGCAAGGUUGAAACUCAAAGGAAUUGACGGGGUCC
rnacentral:rRNA from 1 species